GGGGCUUCGGAGUACUGACAGGUUGUAGCUGGCCUUUCGGGGCAUGUGCACACCUGGCUCAUCCACUCUUCAACCUCUGUGCACUUGUUGUAGGUCGGUAGAAGAGCGAGCAUCUAAUGCUUGCUUGGAAGCCUUCCUAUGUUUUACUACAAACGCUUCAGUUUAAGAAUGUUUACCUGCGUAUAACGCAUUUAUAUACAACUUUCAGCAACGGAUCUCUUGGCUCUCGCAUCGAUGAAGAACGCAGCGAAAUGCGAUAAGUAAUGUGAAUUGCAGAAUUCAGUGAAUCAUCGAAUCUUUGAACGCACCUUGCGCUCCCUGGUAUUCCGGGGAGCAUGCCUGUUUGAGUGUCAUGGUAUUCUCAACCUUCAUAACUUUUGUUAUCGAAGGCUUGGACUUGGAGGUUGUGCUGGCUUCUAGUUAAGUCGGCUCCUCUUAAAUGUAUUAGCGUGAGUGUAACGGAUCGCUUCGGUGUGAUAAUUAUCUGCGCCGUGGUCGUGAAGUAACAUAAGCUUGCGCUUCUAACCGUCCUUCAGUUGGACAAUUACUUUGACAUCUGACCUCAAAUCAGGUAGGACUACCCGCUGAACUUAAGCAUAUCAAUAAGCCGGAGAGAGAUCAUUAACGAGUAACUGAACAGGUUGUAGCUGGCCUUUCGGGGCAUGUGCACACCUGGCUCAUCCACUCUUCAACCUCUGUGCACUUGUUGUAGGUCGGUAGAAGAGCGAGCAUCUAAGCUUGCUUGGAAGCUUCCUAUGUUUUACUACAAACGCUUCAGUUUAAGAAUGUUUACCUGCGUAUAACGCAGUUAUAUACACUUUCAGCAACGGAUCUCUUGGCUCUCGCAUCGACUAACAACGCACGACUGCGAUAAGUCAUUGUGAACUGCAGAAAUCAGUGAAUCAUCGAAUCUUUGAACGCACUUGCGCUCCUGGUAUUCCGGGGAGCAUGCUGUUUGAGUGUCAUGGUAUUUCUCACCUUCAUAACUUUUGUUAUCGAAGCUGACUUGGAGUUGUGCUGCUUCUAGUUAAUCGGCUCCGUCUAAAUGUAUUAGCGUGAGUGUUAACGAUCCUCGGCUGAUAAUUACUGGCCUGGUCUGAGUACAUAAGCUGGCUCUACGCUUCAUGGAAGUACUGACCUGACCAUCGUUGAUACCUGACUAGCUCUCUACGGAGAGAGAAA
rnacentral:rRNA from 1 species